rnacentral:lncRNA from 1 species
AUGCAUGGGGGCUCAGAGGGCCCUGUGGAGGAAGUGGGGAAGACUGGACUGGUGGGAGGGGGUGAGGCUGGGGAGCAGGGUGUCAGAGGAGGCCGGGGUGCCCUGCCCAGCCCUGGGGUUCUGGAGCAGAGAGAGGAGCUUAGAUGGCAUUUCAGGGCCGCCUCGCUGGCCGGCGGGGUGCCCGAGGAAACACCUGGCUCCCUGGAGCUGGGGUCCCCUAGGGAGCCCCGGCAGCGCGGGGCCCCCGCGGCCCCCACUGGCGGCACCCGGCGACCGCGAGGAGCCCGGCGGGAGCUGCCCCGCCCCGGUUUCCAUGACAACCCCAGGGAAACAAACAAGGAGGCUCAGCACUCUCCCGCGAGCAGGAAACGGAACGCGGCCUCCCCGGCCAGACCCCGCGAGUGGGAGGCACUAGCGCCAAGCAGGUUGCGGCCGAUCCGCCCUCUGGGGGACCCGGUGCCCCUCACCCUGCCCGCAAGGCGGCAGUCACACAAUAGGCGCCCCUCCUCCCGGGUCUGGGGGACGGGCUCCCAGAAGAUCGCGUUUCCCUCGCGUAGUUUCCACUGGAGCUUCACAGAGGAAGAGGGGCCCAGCUGUGCUCUCAGCAGCCCCCACUGGCUGGACGGCAGGAAGUUUCCAUCCGGCAAGAGGAGCCCUCGGCAAGGGCGGGCCUGGGGGUGCCCCCAACGACCCCCCCAACCAGGGAGCUUCGGCUUAGCAGGAGGGAGGCGGGAAUGGGAAGAGUCGUCCCAGCCGCUCCUCUUGAGUGCACCCCUUACCUCUGCCCGGGGUGAAAGUGGGGCGCCCCUGGGGUACCUGCACCAGGGCCUCCCACCCCCCGGGGCAGGCCAACCCGCCUUGCACAUCCUGGCUGCGUUCCCGGCGCCGGCCAAAUCCAAGGAGACACUGCUGCCCACGCUGGACGCCCGGACGGGCCUGGAGGAGGGAGGGCGGCUUGGGAUUGCGGACACCGAGCCGGCCGCUCCACCCGAGGGACACGGAUGGCUGCUCGAAGGACAAUGA